rnacentral:rRNA from 1 species
AUUCGGUCCAGACUCCUACGGGAGGCAGCAGUGAGGAAUAUUCCACAAUGGGCGAAAGCCUGAUGGAGCAAUGCCGCGUGCAGGAUGAAGGCCUUCGGGUUGUAAACUGCUUUUAUAUGAGAAGACUAUGACGGUAACAUAUGAAUAAGGACCGGCUAACUACGUGCCAGCAGCCGCGGUAAUACGUAGGAUCCAAGCGAUCC